UCAUCAAUGUGAAUACAAAGCCAAAUCCUUACUUGCUUACAACACUAAGAAGAGUCAUAAUAAAAGAACCAACUGGAAAUCUCAAGGGUUGAUUCAUGGUCUCACUGCUCCAAGCUGAGAGGAAAGUUAUAACAGUUCCUGGAGUCAGCUGUGGGGUCCUGAAUUCUUGAUCCUCUGGCCAUGGAGAUAUCCAAAAAGGGAACAACACAACCUAUUGUUGGUCAUUUAGAAUUAAGAAGAAAAGAAAAUCAUUUCUGAGGAAGUCCAGACAAAAGAACUUGGACUAAGGAUGAUUAUAGCCGUUGUUUACCCUUGAAAUUGUUCUGGGUAUUAAGCUAUCUAUAUUCCCUCUCCUUUUACUUCAUUCACAAGGCAAAGCAUUCCCGGCAUCACAACGUUGGUGAGUCUCCUCUGCUUUUGCUGCAUAAUAGUUUCCCAGUGAGAAGGGAUAUGAAACGUGGCAGGGGUGAAGGAGACAUACUACGAGACCGUUUCUUUCCUUUCAUUUCCUGGAGCCAAUCUGAAUGAAGACCCAGAGAGGAACGGAAGAAAUGGAGCUGCCAAAACCAGACAAUGGGAGAAAGAAAGUGAGGAGAUGAGAAGAACGGGCACCAAAAGCAUCCUGGGAUGAGCAUGAGAAGAAGCUGGAGAUUUGUCAUUUUCAUUGUUAUCAUUUUCUGUUGUAUUUUAAAUCUGAGAGCUUUUAUGGAGGAAGUAUACACACUUUUCAUAUAAUGGCUUAGAGGAAAUUUAUCUUUAGUUUAAUGCACCUGUUCCUCAUUGGACUUUUUCGUCCAUUUAUUCCUUAGCACUGAAAAGACUCAUAGGCAAAACAAAACAAAACAAAACUCUCUAUAAGUGCAAUAGCGAAUUCUAAUUAUUUUUCAAGUUUAUUCAGUUAUUAUAG